rnacentral:piRNA from 1 species
UAGGAAUGGUGGAUACUAUUGUCCAGUUC